UCGGGAAUUUUGGGCAAUGGGCGAAAGCCUGACACAGCAACGCCGCGUGAAGGAUGAAGUCCCUCGGGAUGUAAACUUCGUAAGAAUAGGAAGAAUAAAUGACGGUACUAUUUGUAAGGUCCGGCUAACUACGUGCCAGCAGCCGCGGUAAUACGUAGGGACCAAGCGUUGUUCGGAUUUACUGGGCGUAAAGGGCGCGUAGGCGGCUUUGUAAGUCACUUGUGAAAUCUCCGGGCUUAACUCGGAACGGCCAAGUGAUACUGCAAAGCUAGAGUGCAGAAGGGGCAAUCGGAAUUCUUGGUGUAGCGGUGAAAUGCGUAGAUAUCAAGAGGAACACCUGAGGUGAAGACGGGUUGCUGGGCUGACACUGACACUGAGGUGCGAAAGCGUGGGGAGCAAACAGGAUUAGAUACCCUUGUAGUCCCUGAGCGGGCUGGCAAGGCGCAU
rnacentral:rRNA from 1 species